rnacentral:rRNA from 1 species
GAUGAACGCUGGCGGCGUGCCUAAUACAUGCAAGUCGAGCGAACAGACGAGGAGCUUGCUCCUCUGACGUUAGCGGCGGACGGGUGAGUAACACGUGGAUAACCUACCUAUAAGACUGGGAUAACUUCGGGAAACCGGAGCUAAUACCGGAUAAUAUAUUGAACCGCAUGGUUCAAUAGUGAAACACGGUUUUGCUGUCACUUAUAGAUGGAUCCGCGCCGCAUUAGCUAGUUGGUAAGGUAACGGCUUACCAAGGCAACGAUGCGUAGCCGACCUGAGAGGGUGAUCGGCCACACUGGAACUGAGACACGGUCCAGACUCCUACGGGAGGCAGCAGUAGGGAAUCUUCCGCAAUGGGCGAAAGCCUGACGGAGCAACGCCGCGUGAGUGAUGAAGGUCUUCGGAUCGUAAAACUCUGUUAUUAGGGAAGAACAAAUGUGUAAGUAACUAUGCACGUCUUGACGGUACCUAAUCAGAAAGCCACGGCUAACUACGUG